rnacentral:rRNA from 1 species
UACGGGGGGGGCAAGCGUUGUUCGGAAUUACUGGGCGUAAAGGGUUUGUAGGUGGCUUGUUAAGUCAGACGUGAAAUCCCUCAGCUUAACUGGGGAACUGCGUCUGAUACUGGCGAGCUUGAGUGCAGGAGAGGAACGCGGAAUUCCAGGUGUAGCGGUGAAAUGCGUAGAUAUCGAUAGGAACUCCGGUGGCGAAGGCGGCAUACUGGACCACAUCUGACGCUGAGGCGCGAAAGCCAGGGGAGCAAACGGG